CCUCUCUUCUCUUCCUCUCUUCCUCCUUUCACCUCUUCCCCCAUUUUCAAAGACAAAUGGUUUUCCCUAUUUGUCUUAGUUUUGUUAUGAUUUUCAUCCAACCAUUAGUGGCGGCUGCGGCUCAGCGUCGGAUCUUCACUUACAUUUCGGCGUCAGAUCUCCACCACCAUAUUUUUUGCAAUUUCUUUAUGUUUGGAAUAAGUUGCAGAGACUCUUUGGGUUCUCUGUGUAGUUUUCACCUCUCCUUUUGUGAGAGUUUUUCAUCUCUCCUUUGUGAGAGCUUUUCAUCUCUCCUUUGUGAGAGCUUUUCAUCUCUCCUUUGUGAGAGCUUUUCAUCUCUCCUUGGUGAGAGUUUUAUUUGUAUUGUUAUGGCUUGAUUUUUUCAAGCUUUAUCUCUUUUUUAUUAUUCUAAGUUUGCAAUCUUAGUUGGGAUGCCUAUGCUAGAGUUUCUUUGAUCUUGCCUGAUCGUUGGUGGAGACAUACCUGAUUUUCUUAAUUUUGAUAUUAGACCGCUCCGUUAUUGUAAUGGCCCUUUUGUGGCUAGUUUGUAUUGGCCCUUUGUGGCUAGUGACUUUUUUGGCUGAAUUAUG
rnacentral:lncRNA from 1 species